rnacentral:lncRNA from 1 species
CGCGGAUUGUGGGAGGGAGGAGGCUCCGAACACUCGGGAAGCCUAGUGGACGAGGGGACUGGGGACAAGGGGGCUGCCAACACCCAGCGACGGAGACGGGGACUCCGACAUGGCACUUGUUGGAGGGUUUCAUGAAACUCAGGAACUGGGUCUCUUCUGAGGUAGACAGACCACAACUGCAGAGCAUCGUCAGACAGGAGAUAAAUACGUCCAUGUACAACACGCAGCAAAAUGAGGAAGCAGACCUGUGAGAUGUAAUAAACAACGUCCUUCUUGCCAUCCAUGCUGUAAACACAGCGGAGAUGUUCCUUGGCUGUUCCUGACACC